AUGCGUUGUGUGAUGCGCUGUGUAUGUAUGAUGUGUUGUGUGUCUGUGAUGUGUUGUGUGUGUCAUGUGCUGUGUGUCUGUGAUGUGCUGUGUGUCUGUGUGAUGUGUUGUUGUGUGCGUGAUGUGCUGUGUGUCUGUGUGACAUGUCAGGUGGCGAGCUCUGGGGCUCCCCCUCCCACGACCCUGGGAAGCAGCCUCUUGCUCCAUCUUUCAGAGACCCGCGGGCCGGUGGCGACGGCACGGAGUGCCCGGGUUCACAGUGCAGCUUGUCGCUCGUGUACAUCUUGCAGGUGGCUCUUCCUCCACAUCACGGCUAGGGUCUCCAAGAUGAUGCGGUGGAGAAUCCUCCAGGUUCGCGGAAAAUCUCACUUUGCUUGCUUCUCCUGCUCAAUGGCUGUGGAGAGCAGGAAAUUGGACACUGGGGGAUGGGGACCCCUGGCAACCCACCCAAACGGGGCGCUUGCAAACCUGGUUUGGGUAAGGCACCCACGAGGUCUAGGGAUUAAGAAAGAGGCGUGGGGCUGGGAAGAGAGAGGCGCUUUGUGCAACAGAAACAGGGGCUGGGGCCGCCCGAUGGGAAGCAACUGCCGGAUGGGGUGUGAGAAUCCUCCAGGUUCGAGGAAAAUCUCACUUUGCUUGCUUCUCCUGCUCAAUGGUCUCUUUGGUCGGCAGGGAGAUGGGAAACGCACACGUCUUCUCACACACACACGUGUCCCAGGCAGUCACUAUGGGUGCUGAUGCUGCAGGGAGCACGGCGUGGUGUCCUUGAGCACACGUGAGAGACACACACAUCCCUGCACGCGUGUACCAAGUGUGCACACGUGUACUAAGUGUGUGUGCGUGUGUGGCAUGAGGCUGGAGUUUCUGGGUCGCGGUGGGUAGGCACAGAAUUCCACGUGGGAUUCUACACAGUGCCAUGCUGACCCCGCUCCCUGCCCAGCGGUGCCUGGUGCCUGCUGCCUGCCCCUUGCCUGGUCCUGUAGGCUCUGCAGGCCCGCGGGCUACCAGCAGGCGCCUCCGCUGUGCUGCCCUCCCUCUGGAGCAGCCGAGCACCUCCUUCCGGCACAGCGGGUGCGUGGGCCUCUGCUGACCGCCCUGCUCUCACCCGAGUCCGCUGUCCGUUCCCCGGGCACGGCAAGAGCGUCUCCCGCGCCCCCGCUCCCCCCGCCCGGC
rnacentral:lncRNA from 1 species